rnacentral:rRNA from 1 species
GACGAACGCUGGCGGCGUGCCUAACACAUGCAAGUCGAGCGAUGAAGUUUUCUUCGGAAGACGGAUUAGCGGCGGACGGGUGAGUAACACGUGGGUAACCUGCCCUAUAGAGGGGGAUAGCCUUUCGAAAGAGAGAUUAAUACCCCAUAAGAUUGUAGCAUCGCAUGGUGCAGCAAUUAAAGAUUUAUCGCUAUAGGAUGGACCCGCGGCGCAUUAGCUAGUUGGUGAGGUAACGGCUCACCAAGGCGACGAUGCGUAGCCGACCUGAGAGGGUGAUCGGCCACAUUGGGACUGAGACACGGCCCAGACUCCUACGGGAGGCAGCAGUGGGGAAUAUUGCACAAUGGGGGAAACCCUGAUGCAGCAACGCCGCGUGAGUGAUGACGGUCUUCGGAUUGUAAAGCUCUGUCUUCAGGGACGAUAAUGACGGUACCUGAGGAGGAAGCCACGGCUAACUACGUGCCAGCAGCCGCGGUAACAC